rnacentral:rRNA from 1 species
GAUGAACGCUGGCGGCGUGCCUAACACAUGCAAGUCGAACGCAGCACCUUACCUUAUUCUUCGCAUGAAAGUUUCGUGACUGAGUGUCGGACGUGUGAGUCACGCCUGGGUAACCUGCCCUGUACAUGGGGAUAACAGCUGGAACCGGCUGCUAAUACCUCAUACGCGCCCGAUGCUACAUCUCCUUGUCUGCACAACUCCGGUGUUACCGUAUGGUCCCUCGUCUGAUUAGAUGGUUGGCAGCGUAACGGCCUACCAAGGCAACGAUCAGUAGCCGGGACGAGAGGAUGAACGGCAAAAGUGGAACAGAGAGACGGAGAGAACUCCUAGGGGAGGAAGCAGUGGGGACUAUGGAACAAUGGGGGAAAGAAUGAGGCAGCAACGCCGAGAGAGUGAAGAAGUAGUGAGGAAGGUAAAGCUCUAUGAGAAGGGAAGAUAAUGACGGUACCUGACGAAGAAGCGACGGCUAAAUACGUG